AUGAGGCGUGCAUCUGGCGGCCGGCCUGUACCUUGCGCGCACAGCCGCGUCUCCGCUCGGCUCGGCUGAUCUCGAUGCAUUACGCGCGGCUCGUGCUCGCUCCUCUCGGCUCGGCCUAACUAGGGCCGCUUCGCUCAGAGCGCUAGGCUCCCCAAAACAGUUCCUCUCCGCCGUUCCCCACCGCCUGUUUCGUGAUCCCGCCGCCGCCUCUCUCGUCCGGAGGACCGGAGCCCGUUCGGUGCCGUUGCCUUCCUCCACGCGCGGGACGGUGCUACCUACCUGCCCGCCGGCCGCUUCUCUCCGUCGAACCGCACCACCGCUUUACGAACGCCUCCAGCCGGAUAGCCCACGGCCGAUGCCAUCUUCCUCCUCGUGCAGGAGGCCGCUGCUGUCAUUCCUCGUGAAGGUGGCUGCUUGACAUCCCCAGGUGAGAUAUGUGGGGUGCAGCAUUGCUGGUGAUUCAAGAUUAGAAAGACUAAAAUGAACAAGAGGCCGCUUAAGAAAUACCAUAGAACAACCAAAGACAGAACAAUAGAGUGAAGACAUGCUGCUUUCUGAAGGAAUUUAUUCUGGGAGCUGAUGUGUGUGGAAGUAGUUAGUUUUGCCUGAUGUAUGUAGUCUUUCUUUGUAAUAUGUACUAUGUAUAGCCUGUACAUGGUUAAGAGUUUGCAAGGAUUGUAGUCCAGAUGCUAUAAAUUUGAAACCCAUUUUUUUGGUUCAAAUUGCAAAUAUCUGUACAAUGCAGUUUUUUUUUUAUCUGAAAUAAGUAUGACGUGUUGGAUGCUAUGAAA